rnacentral:ncRNA from 1 species
GAACAGGGGUGCAUUUCGAUGCUGAGAGAAACCCUUAUCACCUGAUCUGGUUUGUACCAGCGUAGGGAGUUU